UACGAAGGGGGGCUAGCGUUGUUCGGAUUUACUGGGCGUAAAGCGCACGUAGGCGGAUCGUUAAGUCGGGGGGUGAAAUCCUGGAGCUCAACUCCAGAACUGCCUUCGAUACUGGCGAUCUUGAGUCCGGAAGAGGUGAGUGGAACUCCUAGUGUAGAGGUGGAAUUCGUAGAUAUUAGGAAGAACACCAGUGGCGAAGGCGGCUCACUGGUCCGGUACUGACGCUGAGGUGCGAAAGCGUGGGGGAGCAAAACAGG
rnacentral:rRNA from 1 species